rnacentral:misc_RNA from 1 species
GAUGAAGAACGUAGCGAAAUGCGAUAAGUAGUGUGAAUUGCAGAAUUCAGUGAAUCAUCGAAUCUUUGAACGCACAUUGCGCCCCUUGUUAUUCCAUGGGGCAUGCCUGUUCGAGCGUCAUUUGUACCUUCAAGCUUUGCUUGGUGUUGGGUGUUUGUCUCGCCUUUGCGUGUAGACUCGCCUUAAAAUAAGUGGCAGCCGGCGUAUUGAUUUCGGAGCGCAGUACAUCUCGCGCUUUGCACUCAUAACGACAGCGUCCAAAAGUACAUUUUACACUCUUGACCUCGGAUCAGGUAGGGAUACCCGCUGAACUUAAGCAUAUCAAUAAGCGGAGGA